rnacentral:rRNA from 1 species
GAUGAACGCUGGCGGCGUGCCUAAUACAUGCAAGUCGAGCGAACAGACGAGGAGCUUGCUCCUUCGACGUUAGCGGCGGACGGGUGAGUAACACGUAGGUAACCUACCUAUAAGACUGGGAUAACUUCGGGAAACCGGAGCUAAUACCGGAUAAUAUUUCGAACCGCAUGGUUCGAUAGUGAAAGAUGGCUUUGCUAUCACUUAUAGAUGGACCUGCGCCGUAUUAGCUAGUUGGUAAGGUAACGGCUUCCCAAGGCAACGAUACGUAGCCGACCUGAGAGGGUGAUCGGCCACACUGGAACUGAGACACGGUCCAGACUCCUACGGGAGGCAGCAGUAGGGAAUCUUCCGCAAUGGGCGAAAGCCUGACGGAGCAACGCCGCGUGAGUGAUGAAGGUCUUCGGAUCGUAAAACUCUGUUAUUAGGGAAGAACAAACGUGUAAGUAACUGUGCACGUCUUGACGGUACCUAAUCAGAAAGCCACGGCUAACUACGUG